UUCCCAUGUCGAGAAUCGACCCCAUACGGCCUGGAUGAAAUCCAGGAAUCCUAACCACUAGACCAUAUGAGA